rnacentral:rRNA from 1 species
UACGGGGGGAGCAAGCGUUGUUCGGAUUUACUGGGCGUAAAGGGCGCGUAGGCGGUCGUGACAAGUCACUUGUGAAAUCUCCGGGCUUAACUCGGAACGGUCAAGUGAUACUGUCGGACUAGAGUACAGAAGGGGCAACUGGAAUUCUCGGUGUAGCGGUGAAAUGCGUAGAUAUCGAGAGGAACACCAGUGGCGAAGGCGGUUGCCUGGGGCUUUGCUGACGCUGAUGCGCGAAAGCGUGGGGAGCGAUCCGG